CCUACGGGAGGCAGCAGUAGGGAAUCUUUCACAAUGGGCGAAAGCCUGAUGGAGCAACGUCGCGUGCAGGAUGAAGGCCUUCGGGUUGUAAACUGCUUUUAUAAGCGAGAAAUAUGAUGGUAACUUAUGAAUAAGGAUCGGCUAACUACGUGCCAGCAGCCGCGGUCAUACGUAGGAUCCGAGCAUUAUCCGGAGUGACUGGGUGUAAAGAGUUGCGUAGGUGGCAUAAUAAGUAGCUAGUGAAAUCUGGUGGCUCAACCAUUCAGACUAUUAGCUAAACUGUUAAGCUCGAGACCGUUAGGGGUAACUGGAAUGUCUAGUGUAGGAGUGAAAUCCGUAGAUAUUAGAAGGAACACCAAUAGCGUAGGCAGGUUGCUGGGACGGUUCUGACACUAAGGCACGAAAGCGUAGGGAGCAAACGGGAUUAGAUACCCUAGUAGUC
rnacentral:rRNA from 1 species